UGGUUGGUUCGUUCAUUACAUGGAUAACCACUGGUAAUUCUAGAGCUAAUACAUGCGUCCAGACCCAACUUUUGGGAAGGGUUGUGUUUAUUAAAUACCUAACCAACCCCGGCUCCGCCUGGUCCUUGGGGAAUUCAUAAUGUCAAACCGGAUCGCAUGGCUCCAGCUGGUGAUGAAUCAUUCAAGUUUCUGACCUAUCUUCUUCCGAGGGGGUAUUAUUGUCCUACGGGUUUGUAACGGGCAACGGAUAAUUAGGGUAUGAUUCCGGAGAGGGAGCCUGAAAAACGGCUACAUGAUCUAAGGAAGGCAGCAGGCCCAAUUAUUACCCAAUCCUGACGGACGAAGGUAGUGACAAGAAAUAACAUUUGGCGGCAUUGUGUCUUGUUGGAAUAAUGAGAAUUCUUUAAAUCCCUUUAGUAGUACCAAUUGGGGGAAGUCUGGUAGU
rnacentral:rRNA from 1 species